rnacentral:rRNA from 1 species
CCUACGGGCGGCAGCAGUGAGGAAUAUUUGUCAAUGGGCGCUAGCCUGAACCAGCCAAGUAGCGUGAAGGAUGACUGCCCUACGGGUUGUAAACUUCUUUUAUAUGGGAAUAAAGUGCAGUAUGUAUACUGCCUUGCAUGUACCCUAUGAAUAAGGUUCGGCUAACUCCGUUCCAGCAGCCGCGGUAAUACGGGGGAGCCGAGCGUUAUCCGGAUUUAUUGGGUUUAAAUGGCGCGUAGGCGGGUUGUUAAGUCGGUUGUGAAAGUUCGCGGCUCAACCGUAAAAUUGCAGUUGAUACUGGCAUCCUUGAGUAAAGUAGAGGUAGGCGGAAUUCGUGGUGUAGCGGUGAAAUGCUUAGAUAUCGCGAAGAACUCCGGUUGCGAAGGCAGCCUGCUGGACUGUAACUGACGCUGAUGCUCGAAGGUGAGGGUAUCGAACAGGAUUAGAUACCCUUGUAGUC